rnacentral:rRNA from 1 species
UGCAAGUCGAGCGGAACGAUGCCUAGCUUGCUAGGAGGCGUCGAGCGGCGGACGGGUGAGUAAUGCAUAGGAAUCUGCCCGGUAGUGGGGGAUAACCUGGGGAAACCCAGGCUAAUACCGCAUACGCCCUACGGGGGAAAGCAGGGGAUCUUCGGACCUUGCGCUAUCGGAUGAGCCUAUGUCGGAUUACCUAGUUGGUGAGGUAACGGCUCACCAAGGCUGCGAUCCGUAGCUGGUCUGAGAGGAUGAUCAGCCACAUCGGGACUGAGACACGGCCCGAACUCCUACCGGAGGCGGCAGUGGGGAAUAUUGGACAAUGGGCGAAAGCCUGAUCCAGCCAUGCCGCGUGUGUGAAGAAGGCCUUCGGGUUGUAAAGCACUUUCAGUGAGGAAGA